rnacentral:rRNA from 1 species
GGGUUGUGAGGUUAAGCGACUAAGCGUACACGGUGGAUGCCCUGGCAGUCAGAGGCGAUGAAGGACGUGCUAAUCUGCGAUAAGCGCCGGUAAGGUGAUAUGAACCGUUAUAACCGGCGAUUUCCGAAUGGGGAAACCCAGUGUGACUCGUCACACUAUCAUUAACUGAAUCCAUAGGUUAAUGAGGCGAACCGGGGGAACUGAAACAUCUAAGUACCCCGAGGAAAAGAAAUCAACCGAGAUUCCCCCAGUAGCGGCGAGCGAACGGGGAGGAGCCCAGAGCCUGAAUCAGCAUGUGUGUUAGUGGAAGCGUCUGGAAAGGCGCGCGAUACAGGGUGACAGCCCCGUACACAAAAGCGCAUGUGCUGUGAGCUCGAUGAGUAGGGCGGGACACGUGGUAUCCUGUCUGAAUAUGGGGGGACCAUCCUCCAAGGCUAAAUACUCCUGACUGACCGAUAGUGAACCAGUACCGUGAGGGAAAGGCGAAAAGAACCCCGGCGAGGGGAGUGAAAAAGAACCUGAAACCGUGUACGUACAAGCAGUGGGAGCACCCUUUUGGGUGUGACUGCGUACCUUUUGUAUAAUGGGUCAGCGACUUAUAUUCUGUAGCAAGGUUAACCGAAUAGGGGAGCCGGAGGGAAACCGAGUCUUAAUUGGGCGUUAAGUUGCAGGGUAUAGACCCGAAACCCGGUGAUCUAGCCAUGGGCAGGUUGAAGGUUGGGUAACACUAACUGGAGGACCGAACCGACUAAUGUUGAAAAAUUAGCGGAUGACCUGUGGCUGGGGGUGAAAGGCCAAUCAAACCGGGAGAUAGCUGGUUCUCCCCGAAAGCUAUUUAGGUAGCGCCUCGUGAAUUCAUCUCCGGGGGUAGAGCACUGUUUCGGCUAGGGGGCCAUCCCGGCUUACCAACCCGAUGCAAACUGCGAAUACCGGAGAAUGUUAUCACGGGAGACACACGGCGGGUGCUAACGUCCGUCGUGAAGAGGGAAACAACCCAGACCGCCAGCUAAGGUCCCAAAGUCAUGGUUAAGUGGGAAACGAUGUGGGAAGGCCCAGACAGCCAGGAUGUUGGCUUAGAAGCAGCCAUCAUUUAAAGAAAGCGUAAUAGCUCACUGGUCGAGUCGGCCUGCGCGGAAGAUGUAACGGGGCUAAACCAU